GUUUGAUUCUGUAUUGUGGAUCAGAGGAAAUGUGACAGUUUGUCUUGAAAUAAAUUUCCCUGGCUCUAAACAAGCAUUUUAGAACCCCCAGCAGGAUUUUGAUGUUAGCUUAAGGAAAAGUAAAUGUUUGCUCGGCUCCAUCUUCAAACACUCUCAGCAUUUUGACCACCGUGUAUAGCACUCAUCUGAAGUCUUCCCAUGCUACUUUUAACUCCUCUGCUUCCAUGGUAUAUUGAAAUUAAUUAUACAGCCUUCUUCCCUUUCAGAUGAAUGUUACUGCUUUGUUAAGUAAAUCCCAG
rnacentral:lncRNA from 1 species